UGCAUCUGGGGCCUGCGAGGAUGAGAACCUCCGGGGGCAGGAGGUUCGACUCGAGCGAAGCGAGAGAACGUUGCGUCAG
rnacentral:sRNA from 1 species